rnacentral:rRNA from 1 species
GACGUAGGGCGCGAGCGUUGUCCGGAUUUAUUGGGCGUAAAGAGCUCGUAGGCGGCUUGUCGCGUCGUUCGUGAAAACCCACAGCUCAACUGUGGGCUUGCGGUCGAUACGGGCAGGCUGGAGUUCGGUAGGGGAGACUGGAAUUCCUGGUGUAGCGGUGAAAUGCGCAGAUAUCAGGAGGAACACCGGUGGCGAAGGCGGGUCUCUGGGCCGAUACUGACGCUGAGGCGCGAAAGCUAGGGGAGCAAACGGG